UUUACAGCGGCAGCAUGUUGAUUUUGGAACAUCUCUCAUGCAGAUGAACUCCCAAUUUUUUCGGGGCAGAUUACCUUCAAACAAGGUUCCUCUGACGUGCUUUAGAAGAAUUCCUGCAACCUGUUUAGUGUUCAUUGUUUGGCACAUGGACUCCAUUAGUCUCUUCGAUAGAAUUCUCUAUUUCCCUCUACUUCAAAGAGGAACAAGUUUUCCUUUCUUCUACAGGUAUAGAGUAUACAAAAGAUGUCUAGACUUGCUCGAACUUUGUGACUGCACAAAGAAAAAGUAACACUGUGAAGCCAUAUAUACUUUACAAUGAUUCUUUGAUUUUUGCUUCCCCUCAAAAGGUCUCUUAAAUAUUCAUAUGUACAUUCAAAACCUUUUGCUUGUCGAGUUGCUUCAAAAUCUAACUAGCUUUUAAUAUAUUGGAAUUUGUGUCGCUUGAAGAGACCUCUUAGUUCCCCCACAGCACAAACACAUUAGCAGGUGACAGCAUACGUCAACGAAAUUUCGAAGUAGAGAAAAAGCAUCCUGAUUCGACACAACUUUCUGGCGUUUGUUUCAAACAAAAAUAAAAGUGUGUUA
rnacentral:lncRNA from 1 species